CGCGGCAAGACGGAGAGACCCCGUGGACCUUUACUAUAGCUUGACACUGCUAUUUGGAUAAAGAUGUGCAGGAUAGGUGGGAGGCUUUGAAGCUAGGACGCCAGUUCUAGCAGAGCCAUUGUUGAGAUACCACUCUUCUUUAUUUGGGUAGCUAACUAGCCUAAGUUAUCCUCAAGUGGGACAAUGUCUGGA
rnacentral:rRNA from 1 species